AGAUGGCCAUCUCAUAUUUGGGUGGAUUUGAGGAUCAGGUCUGAUACAGGACGUCCAAACAGACUCCCGAUCACCACUGGUUUCCUGGUCACACGAAACCUCAACAACUGCGCAAGAGAUUAUAAAAUUCUGGCUUUUGACGAAGAUGGCGACGAGGUCAGAAUCUGCCCAAGUUGGUUGGACAAUACCAACUGUGUUUCCUGCUCAUCCGUCACCAGCUUCGGCACCACGUUUUGUACUUACUCCGACAUUGUGAAUACAUAUGGUGGUGACUAUGGAUAUAUCAGGGAUUUUCCGAGACAAAACCUCAUCCUGACAAACACCGACGGAUCACAAGAAGUCAAGACUCCUAAUGAGGACAUCAGUGAACACUUGGUCCGAAUAUCACAUCAGGAUGAAGGACCUGCUCCAUCCUGCACUGAGGGAGUUUAUAUCCCAAAGUUCACCUCACCGACCCCAGAGUUUGGAGAAAUACUCAAUGCCACUGUUGGAGAAACACUGCUCAUUGAAGUCUCCGCUGAGGCCAACACUUCCAGGUAGAAUCAGUAGUUUUCACUCAGAUGGAAAACAGGAGGUAUUU
rnacentral:lncRNA from 1 species